UAAAUAUUUACAUUAAUACCUGUUAACAAUGAUUACUUGUCAAAUUGCCUGACUGGUCAGGUUGCCAAUUUCCAUAUAAUCUGUGCGUGGUCCUUUAUGAAAAUGUUUUAUUACCUAUUAGUAUUCAUUUAGUAUAGAUUUUCAGCAAGUAAAGGACAUUACCGAUGAAUCUUCUCUUGAGCUUGGUAUGGAACCAUGCAUUGUAUUAUGUGGUGGCUUUAACAAUACUAUAAAAAUAUACCUAGAACAAGAACCUGUUACGGAAAAAUGUGACUCAUUUGGAGGGGCAUUGCAUUGCUUAAUUGCUCUUUAUUUUGUCUUUAAUUUGGAAUAUCCCAAAGAAGCAUCCUGCAUUUUGGAGUUCCUUCAAAGAUAUAUUUCAAAUAUACACCCCGAAGCAGGAACCAAAUCGAAAAAACAAAAUCUUUCGAAAAGAAAAGUUAUUAUUUUAUUAAAUAAUUAUUUAUAAAUUAUUAUAUUAUUUCUUUUUUUGAGCCCAUAAAUGUUAAAUGAAUUUGUUCCAACCUUAAA